ensembl:lncRNA
GUAAUGUAACUCCUUCAGCAUAUUAUGGGAGGUGUAUUUUAGUGGGUCUGGAGGGCUCUCAGAGUGAUGACUCUUAAUGCACUGUGGUAACCUAUGCUAACUGGCUCUUAAAUUUACAGACAAGUCUAUAAUUCUGUUUUCUUUGUGUUCAGGAGGCUAACACAGCAGUUUGAGUCAGGACAGAACAGGAACUAUGGCUAUGGGUAUCUUGAUACAGAUGUGAAAGAUGCAUGUUCAGUAGAGGACCCAAGCAAGCUGGGAAAGGAGAAUGGUCUGGAAGCACACUGAGGUGCAAGAAAUCUUGCUGAUCUAUUACUGCUUCUACCCAAGCAUGAAAGUAUGGUUAUAUACGAUACAGCAAUACUGAAGCCAUAAGCAAAAAAAUUAAAAGCGUAUCAGAACGAAGACUUUACCCUGGCUGGAAGGUGAUUGGGCACCAGGAGGAGUUCCAGCCCCAGAGCUAACAUGCUGCUCAUUUGGGUCCAGUUCUUCCAUGCAGACAAUGUGGGGAAGAGGAGACCUGAGCCUCCUGUGUGUACCUUAUGCACAUUUCUCAUGAACUCCAGUGGGAGCUGUGCUGAAGAAGUGCAAAACAGGGCUGGUGACUUGAUUUCCAUUUAUUCAAUAGUUCUGAGAUUGAAAACGAUAGAGACUGGGCAGAAGAAAUAACAGGGGCAUCUCAUAUCCAUGUGUCGCUUCAUUAAACAUCUGAAAAAGGCAAUGAAAAAGCAGAGAUCGUAGAAUAAGAUUUUCAGACAGCAGAAUGAUAGCAUAAAAGACUCUGUCCUCUGCUUGUACGAUACACGUGGUCAC